CAGCGCCGCCAUUUGCACGUUGAUGGUGACGAUCAUCUACUUGGGUUUGGAAACCUUUUACUACAAAACAGCAUACUGUGGAUUCACAACUUUGUUUCCGAUCAUUAUAUCAGCGGUGACGCUCGCAUGGAUAGCGUGCGCUCCACGCUACUUGAAGACGCGCGAGAUCGACGAAGAGGAGCUGAUGAAAGUGAUGCUGCCGCGCAGGAAAAAGUGGAACAAGAAACGAGACUGAUCUGCCCCGAGCCUCAUGCAGCGCCAGCAUCAAUGGGCGCACCGGCCACUGUCGUUUGCUUGCCAUCGCUAGUCUCCGGUGUCACGCUCUUAGCACCCAAUGCGUGUUCGUCGAUUUUAGUGAACAUCCUUUUCGUCCGUGCGUGUUUUGUUUGACUUGUCGAACAGCUCCUUUUUGAUGGUUGCCGGUAUCGCUACAAGACGCCGUUUGCGGCGUGGGACGAGAGAGUGAACGGGAACGUGUGGUGCUAUGCACUUAGUAUGAAAAUGUAACGGAACGGGGCUCGUGCGUUUUGGAACCAGAGCAAAUGAAAAACACCUUAAUGCUUCGCAA